GAUGAACGCUGGCGGCGUGCUUAACACAUGCCAGUCGAACGGAAAGGCCCAAGCUUGCUUGGGUACUCGAGUGGCGAACGGGUGAGUAACGCGUGGGUGAUCUGCCCUGCACUUCGGGAUAAGCCUGGGAAACUGGGUCUAAUACCGGAUAGGACCACUUCUUGGAUGUUGUGGUGGAAAGUUUUUUCGGUGUGGGAUGAGCUCGCGGCCUAUCAGCUUGUUGGUGGGGUAAUGGCCUACCAAGGCGUCGACGGGUAGCCGGCCUGAGAGGGUGUACGGCCACAUUGGGACUGAGAUACGGCCCAGACUCCUACGGGAGGCAGCAGUGGGGAAUAUUGCACAAUGGGCGCAAGCCUGAUGCAGCGACGCCGCGUGGGGGAUGACGGCCUUCGGGUUGUAAACUCCUUUCGCUAGGGACGAAGCGUUUUGUGACGGUACCUGGAGAAGAAGCACCGGCUAACUACGUG
rnacentral:rRNA from 1 species